rnacentral:rRNA from 1 species
AACGAACGCUGGCGGCGUGCCUAAUACAUGCAAGUCGAGCGCAGGAAACUGACGGAACUCUUCGGAGGGAAGGCAGCGGAAUGAGCGGCGGACGGGUGAGUAACACGUAAGGAACCUGCCUCAAGGAUUGGGAUAACUCCGAGAAAUCGGAGCUAAUACCGGAUAGUUCAACGGACCGCAUGGUCCGCUGAUGAAAGGCGCUUCGGCGUCACCUUGAGAUGGCCUUGCGGUGCAUUAGCUAGUUGGUGGGGUAACGGCCCACCAAGGCGACGAUGCAUGGCCGACCUGGGAGGGUGAUCGGCCACACUGGGACUGAGACACGGCCCAGACUCCUACGGGAGGCAGCAGUAGGGAAUCUUCCACAAUGGACGAAAGUCUGAUGGAGCAACGCCGCGUGAGUGAUGAAGGUUUUCGGAUCGUAAAACUCUGUUGUAAGGGAAGAACACGUACGAGAGGGAAUGCUCGUACCUUGACGGUACCUUACGAGAAAGCCACGGCUAACUACGUGCCAGCAGCCGCCGUAACAC